UACGUAGGGUGCAAGCGUUGUCCGGACUUAUUGGGCGUAAAGAGCUUGUAGGCGGUUUGUCGCGUCUGCUGUGAAAUUUCGGGGCUCAACCCCGAACUUGCAGUGGGUACGGGCAGACUAGAGUGUGGUAGGGGAGACUGGAAUUCCCGGUGUAGUGGUGAAAUGCGUAGAGAUCGGGAGGAACACCAGAGGCGAAAGCGGUUAACUGGGUCUAAACUGACGCUGAGGCGCGAAGGCUAGGGGAGCAAACAGG
rnacentral:rRNA from 1 species